ensembl:snRNA U6 U6 spliceosomal RNA
GUGCCCACGUUGGCAGCACAUACACUAAAAUUGGAAUGACACAGAGUUAGUUAGCAUGGCCCCUAUGCAAUGAUGACAUGCAAUAUUAUGACGUAUUCCAUAUCUUU